AGGUGUAUAUUAGGAGAAUGUGUCCAAUUAAGGGCAUACCGACGUGGCGGCAUGUAGACGAGGCUACUCAAUCUGCUAUCAUACAAUCUGUCCUUGACAAGUUCAAAAUCUCGGAUGAUUAUCAUGGCAAUCUAGUAGCUCAGCAAGCUGUUCACAGAAAAUGCUACAAUAUUCACAAAAAUGGGAGGCACAAUAUGAAAUUGCAUUACAAGCAUCAAGAACGUCUUACAUGUGGACCCUUAUAGUCAUCCAUACGAACAUGUGACUCAAGAGGAUUGGCGCCACUUAAUUGACGAUGUGUGG